GAUGCUCUGUUUUUAGCGAUUUAACUAAACACGACAUAGGCAAGUGUUUCCCCUCGCACGCCUCACCUAGCCAAUCACUUGCUAACAUAAGCAAAGAAAAGCAGAGGAGAGAGCGGAGCCACGGACACCGAUGGGGUUCUACUCCCCGAACCACCAGCGCCUCCUCUCAUACACGAAGCUGAUAUCCACCCACAUAAGCCACUCCCGCCACCACGAGGCCCUGGCCGUGUUCCACCACAUCCACUCCACACUGGCACUCCCUCUAGACCCUCACGUUUUCUCCCUCAUCCUUAAAUCCUGCACCUCCCUCCACCGAAUCCAACUUGCCACGUCACUCCACGCGCACCUCACCAAAUCCUCAUUCCUCUCCAACCCCUUCGUCUCUUCCUCCCUCCUCCACCUCUACGGCACCUGCAUCUCACUCUCUCAAGCACUCCAACUCUUCCACCAAACCACUCCCCGAAACGUCGUCGUCUGGAACACCAUCAUCUCCCUGUACGCCCACCACCUCCCCACCGCGCUUCAACUCUUCCACUCCAUGGACAUUCCCCCCAACGAAUCCACUUUCAAUCCCAUCAUUGCCGCUUUGGCCGCGUCAAACGACGGGUCGUUUAACGCCAUUUCGUUUUACCGAAAAAUGAUUACCCUAAAUUUGAAGCCGCGUUUGAUUACGCUUCUCGCGUUGCUCCCUGCUGCUGUUGGCGUUGCGGCUUUGAAUUUGGUUAAGGAGAUUCACGGUUAUGCUGUAAGGAACUGGAUUGAUCCGCACCAUCAAUUGAGCAGUGGUUUGGUUGAGGCUUAUGGGCGAUGUGGUUCUAUCGUGUAUGCAGAUUCCGUGUUUUGGAGGAUGAGGGAUAAGGAUGUUGUUGCUUGGAGCAGUGUGAUAUCGGCCUAUGCGCUUCACGGCGAGGCAAACACCGCAUUAGGGAUUUUCCGUCAAAUGGAGGUGGCUGGAGUGAAGCCUGAUGGAAUCACGUUUCUUGCAGUGUUGAAGGCUUGUAGCCACGCUGGUUUGGCUGAUGAGGCAUUGUGGUAUUUCAGGAGAAUGCGAGAAGAUUAUGGCGUGGAGCCGAGUAGCGAUCAUUACUCGUGUUUGGUGGAUGUUUUAAGCAGGGCAGGGAGGUUGCAGGAGGCGUAUGAGGUUAUUAAGGGGAUGCCGGUGAAGGUGACUGCCAAGGCGUGGGGUGCACUUCUUGGGGCCUGUAGGAAUUUUGGGGAGUUGAGGUUGGGAGAGAUUGCGGGGAGAGCGUUGGCGGAGGUUGAGCCUGGUAAUGCUGCGAAUUAUGUUCUAUUGGCGAAGAUGUAUGCUAGUGUUGGGAGGAUGGAGGAGGCACAGAAGGUGAUGAGGGAAAUGAAGGAGAGGGGAGUGAAGGCGACGGCCGGUAGUAGUUGGGUUGUGUAUUCUGAGUCUUGACAUUUUGUGUUGCGUGAUUUUAUCUCAAAUGUUGGUCUUGGAGAAAGGAUGAACAAUACACAGUGAGUGAUGCGGUACCAAGAGAAAAUUAGGAGGGAAAAUGAAAGAACCGAGAACAGAGAAAACGAUUGGCAGUAGUACAUGCGUGAUUCCCCUUAACUAAGGUGGAAGCACUGACUAAUGAAGAAGUUGAACUGCAAUCUAAAAUUGAAACUCUUGGAUUAGAGGUUACAGAAGUUCCUUCAAAGUCAACCAAUCACGUUAUGGUUUUGGCUGUUCAAAAAACCGUUUGAAUCAAACCACAUUGUUUACCCCAAAGCAGCUCAAUACCUGAACUGGUUAGCAAUGCAAUUAGAUGCACCCUAUGUGAACCUAUCAACUGACUAAACAAAAGGCCAAACUGGUUCACAUCUCAGUCUCAUGAUUCACUUCAGAAUACCUUGAACCACUACCUUUCAGCGUUCACACUCAUUAACCAAACUCAAAUUUUCACCCCUAAGAACCCUAAUUCCCAAAUUGAACCCUAAUCUCUCUAAUAUCUUCACGUUAAUCAAACCCUAAUCUCCCUGAUCCAAACUGCUAGUGUUGAUCUGUGUUUGUAUCUCUAGUUUGUCCCCAUUUGCCCCUCUUCUUCAUUCCUGUUUGCAUCCAAAUUUGUCAAUGACGGAUCACAUAUCCAGGUACAAUCCAAGUUUCAUAGUCUUGUGAAUUGUUAACGGUUAUUUCUGAUAUGUGCUUGCACCUCAUUGAUUAUCUUUCUGAUAUGUUUCUAAUGCAUGAAUGGUUCAUCUUGCUUGUUCUUAUUAUGUUUGAUGUUCGUUAUUUACUUAUUUUUUAAGCCCCUUCCCUUUUCCCCAUUGGUUUUGAUUUUUUAUAUUGUGGUUGAUUAUUGCUUGAGGCAUUGUUUUUAAAAAAAUUAAAACUCUUGGAAUCUAUGGUUGAGUGUAAACUAGGGGGUAGUUUCAACAUGUUUUGAUCUUUUGGAGGGUGCAAAUUGAAGAAUGCUGGUAUAUUUGACACUCGGCUUGAUUACCACUUCAGGCUUUAGAUUGGUGUUGAAUUUUAUAAUGUUCAAUUCUCCUAUUUUGCUAUAAGAAACAAUCUCAUUUGCUCCUUACAGAAAUCCCUUUCAAACUUUUGUUGUAUGUACCUUUUGAGCUUGAGUUUCAAGUUUUAAGGAAUAAGUUUGCAUUCUUUUUGAAUAAAAUAUUGAGUGAAGUCGUGGCUUCCUGUUUGAGAUUCAAUGCAAUAAGUGACAUAUGUUAUUAAGUGAUCAUUGAUGAAAAUUGAAAUUAUGGUGUUGGAGACGAAAAAACAUUCAACUUUCACUAGUUGCCCUUGAUAUUGUUGCUGGUGUCUUGCCACCAUAUGUCAUCAUUUGGGCAUAGAAAUCGGUCAACAAUUUGUGGACUUUGAUUAGAAUAUGAUCUAUUGUGACCAAUUGAUCAAGUAUUUGGAUAGAAUUAGUGAAAUGAAUUCAAGUUUUAAAAUAUGUAAGGAUAAUCCAUGUAGAGAAGGAAACAAAAGGCUAAAAAUUGUGGCUUAGUAAAAAUUCAACUAAUUGCAAAAAAAUUUCCUUGACAUUUGAAAGAAAAUAAGGGAUUUUUUAGGGUUGGUCCAACAUGUAACAUUUGACUAUUGCAAACUUAAUGUCAUGUCAAGUUGGUGAGUUGUAGCGUAGGCAAAUCAAACAAAAUGAAGAGAAAUUAUAAUUUAGCAAUGAUAUUUAUUUCAACUAGUGGAUAGUUUUGAGCAAUAUUUUUACCAGUUCCAAACAAGAGUGUUUAAAAAAUUAUUCCAUCCGAUACACAUUAUAUAAAUUAAACUAAAACAACGUCUGAACUAACAAAAAGCCAAAAAGAAAAAAAGAAUACUGCAAAAAAAUUGAAAUUGUUUUAUUAUAUUAUGUUAGAUGGGAUUUUACAUCUACUUUUAAUAAUUAAUUCAAUCUAAAUUAUGCUUUUGUUUUGGUAUUUUUUUCAUCUUUCUAUUUCUUUUUCCUUUAUUUCACCUGUCAUCUAAACUAAUCAUUGUCUAAUUUACUGAUGUAAUAUUUGAAACUUCCUUCAAGAAUAACCAAAGGCGGAUCGUCCAAGAGAUGUUUCAGCUAUGAUUUUGAGCAAAUGUAUGGAGAGUUUCAUGAAUCCAACAACAAAUAAAUAAGGAAAAACAAGUGGAAAGCAAGAAAAUGAAAUUAUAAUGCCACACGCCACUCCAAUUGGAGAUAAGCAUCAAUACACUCACCACAUGGAAGAAUUCAUGAUAAGAGUAUGGUUAUGAAAUUUUCAAUGAAAAAAUUCAAAAAAAAACUCACUCAAGAGGAGACUAUGCUGAAAAAUACAUCAAAUGAAUAAAAAAUUUGAAAAUUACAAAGGAGUUUAGCCUAUAUAUAGGCAAGCUAACUCAAGGCCUAAUAUGAUCUCUAAUGGGCCUUAAAACAAGGAAAACAAAGGGGAUGGAAAUUUGGGCUGAAUACAUACCCUGAAACAUAGCCUAAUACAAG